UAGGGAAUCUUCCGCAAUGGACGAAAGUCUGACGGAGCAACGCCGCGUGAGUGAAGAAGGUUUUCGGAUCGUAAAACUCUGUUGUAAGGGAAGAACAAGUACGUUAGUAACUGAACGUACCUUGACGGUACCUUACCAGAAAGCCACGGCUAACUACGUGCCAGCAGCCGCGGUAAUACGUAGGUGGCAAGCGUUAUCCGGAAUUAUUGGGCGUAAAGCGCGCGUAGGCGGUCUCUUAAGUCUGAUGUGAAAGCCCCCGGCUCAACCGGGGAGGGUCAUUGGAAACUGGGAGACUUGAGUGCAGAAGAGGAGAGUGGAAUUCCAUGUGUAGCGGUGAAAUGCGCAGAGAUAUGGAGGAACACCAGUGGCGAAGGCGGCUCUCUGGUCUGUAACUGACGCUGAGGUGCGAAAGCGUGGGGAUCAAACAGG
rnacentral:rRNA from 3 species